AGCAACUGAACACCUGGGACGGCCUGGAACAGUCAUGGCAGCACAUCUGUGGAAAAGGAGGAGCUUGGGCAUAGACUAUAAUGGGCAGCACAUCCUUCUGGGAAUGGGAGCAGCACAUUCAGCAGUCUGUCAACAUCAAGAGAUGCUGGUGGACUCACACUGGGCGUAAGGAGCAUGCCACAACUCCACUUUUCUUUUGGAAGAGGCUGUGCACUGGUUGGGUACAGCACAGGCAUUCUGAGAUCUGAAGCGUGGCGUCACUGCUAAGAAAAAGCAGCUUCAGCCUCAGGCAGGACUUCCAGACCUCGUCGUUCUCACAGCCACCCUUCCAGCUCACCAACAUCUUUUGAAAACCCGGAGAGCAGAACUAAUGAAGACACUCAUUAAUCUGCUCUUGUUUCAAGUUCAGUGACACCAGUCGGGUCUUAACCUGUUAAUUACUCGCUUGUGGCUUUUUCUCCAUCACCACCUCUGUUAACUUCCCAGUACUACACUGUGCAGUGACUUUAAAUUACUUUUCAUUUAAAUGACUUUUCAGCGCAAUUCAGACUUUUCCAUAUAAGGAACUUGAACAGCAUUUACAUUAACCUGCAUUACUUUCUUAGCAAACACUUUAUCUCCUCUCGGAACUAAAAUGAUCAACAAGUCAUGAUGUUCUGUGGCUCUCCCAGUGACACUUCUCCCAUGGGCGAUGCAGUGCUUCCAUAGCAGCCAUCCACAGCUUGGAUGGUCUCUUUCAAUAAAAGAAGGAAAUGCUUUGCUCAAAGCCAAAGCCGCAGACAGCUGGCAGCUGAGAAAGCACUCCAAGUAAGUCCAGCCACGAUUCCUGCAGGGCAGGAACACAGUACUGGGCUACGUGAGCCUCCCGUGGCCUCGUGCUGCCAUUCUCAUGUGUAGUAAUUAAAUGAUAACUCAUGAUCAUA